CGUACACUCCUGCGGGAGGCAGCAGUAGGGAAUCUUCGGCAAUGGGGGCAACCCUGACCGAGCAACGCCGCGUGAGUGAAGAAGGUUUUCGGAUCGUAAAGCUCUGUUGUAAGUCAAGAACGAGUGUGAGAGUGGAAAGUUCACACUGUGACGGUAGCUUACCAGAAAGGGACGGCUAACUACGUGCCAGCAGCCGCGGUAAUACGUAGGUCCCGAGCGUUGUCCGGAUUUAUUGGGCGUAAAGCGAGCGCAGGCGGUUUGAUAAGUCUGAAGUUAAAGGCUGUGGCUCAACCAUAGUUCGCUUUGGAAACUGUCAAACUUGAGUGCAGAAGGGGAGAGUGGAAUUCCAUGUGUAGCGGUGAAAUGCGUAGAUAUAUGGAGGAACACCGGUGGCGAAAGCGGCUCUCUGGUCUGUAACUGACGCUGAGGCUCGAAAGCGUGGGGAGCGAACAGGAUUAGAAACCCUGGUAGUCCCAUGAU
rnacentral:rRNA from 1 species